CUCACUUUUCACUUUCAUGCAUUGGAGAAGGAAAUGGCAACCCACUCCAGUGUUCUUGCCUGGAGAAUCCCAGGGACGGGGGAGCCUGGUGGGCUGCCGUCUAUGGGGUUGCACAGGGUCGGACACGACUGAAGCGACUUAGCAGCAGCAGCAUAGUGUCCUCCACAUAAAAAACAAAAACAAAAAACCAAAAAGCUUCUUAUCCUAGAAAUUUUAAGCUUCGCAACAUGAAGAAAUACAGGGCUUCUUUCCUUGACACGCUGUCUUACAGUCAAAGCGCUGUCUACAGUUCCUUUCAAGACUUCAGAAACUCGAGAACUACUCGGAAUGUGAGCGGACGGGGCAGGAGUGAAGUGAAGGAGAGUAAAAUGGUGGGGAUGAUGCCAGCACUGAAUUCUCGAGUCACGUUACUGAACAUAGUGCAGAAGGAGCAGGAGCCGUUGUCUGUGCUGUGCUUCUGGGGACUCAGAGACAUGCUGGGCCAGUCUUUUUGGCUGUGGGUCUUAACCUCAUAGAAUCCAUUUUGUCAUCUGUAACAUCGGUAUGAUAACAUGUACCUCACAGUACCGCAGUGAUAAUUCAAUGAAAUAAUGUCUACAACGUGCUCAAUGCAAUAAAUGCCACAUCACAGGGGCUUAUAGCUAGAUG
rnacentral:lncRNA from 1 species